ACAGCAGCCGCCGCGGUAAUACGAAGGGUGCAAGCGUUACUCGGAAUUACUGGGCGUAAAGCGUGCGUAGGUGGUGGUUUAAGUCCGUUGUGAAAGCCCUGGGCUCAACCUGGGAAUUGCAGUGGAUACUGGGUCACUAGAGUGUGGUAGAGGAUAGUGGAAUUUCCGGUGUAGCAGUGAAAUGCGUAGAGAUCGGAAGGAACAUCUGUGGCGAAGGCGACUAUCUGGGCCAACACUGACACUGAGGCACGAAAGCGUGGGGAGCAAACAGGAUUAGAUACCCGUGUAGUCCCUGUCUCUUAUAC
rnacentral:rRNA from 1 species